GACGAACGCUGGCGGCGUGCUUAACACAUGCAAGUCGAACGGGUCUGCCCUGUUUUUUGCGGGGUGGGUCAGUGCGAACGGGUGAGUAACACGUGAGUAACCUGCCCCUCACUUCUGGAUAACCGCUUGAAAGGGUGGCUAAUACGGGGUGUUCUGGCUGUGCCGCAUGGUGUGGCUGGGAAAGAUUCACUUUUGUGGUGUUUUGGUGGGGGAUGGGCUCGCGGCCUAUCAGCUUGUUGGUGGGGUGAUGGCCUGCCAAGGCUUUGACGGGUAGCCGGCCUGAGAGGGUGGGCGGUCACACUGGGACUGAGAUACGGCCCAGACUCCUGCGGGAGGCAGCAGUGGGGGGUAUUGCACAAUGGGCGGAAGCCUGAUGCAGCGACGUCGCGGGAGGGAUGGAGGCCGUCGGGUUGUGAACCUCUUUCGCCGGUGAAGAAGGUCCUGCUCUUUGUGGUGGGGUUGACGGUAGCCGGGUUAUGAAGCGCCGGCUAACUACGUG
rnacentral:rRNA from 1 species